GUACAUUAGUGCUUGCGCACGACAAACGUUUUCAUUCCAUUCGAGUGUGUGUGUAAAAUUCCUCUGCCGGCCGAAGCUAGCAAGAGGCCAAAGGUUCACAGGGGUAUUGGAUGAAAGCCACCGCCGUGCACUUGCCAGUUCUGGCCAGCACAGACGGCAACCAUUCGUAAUCAUUAAUGAUCCUUCCGCAGGUUCACCUACGGAAA
rnacentral:misc_RNA from 1 species